UCCGGGUAACACCCGAAACGCCGGUAGGGCCAACCUUAGGAGGGGACGCCGUCGAAGGUGGGUACUGGCGAUUGGGACU
rnacentral:rRNA from 1 species